rnacentral:rRNA from 1 species
GUCUAUGACCAUGCCACCUUGAACAAGCUCAAUCCUGUCUGAUCUCAGAAGCUAAGCAGGGCUGGGCCUGGUUAGUACUUGGAUGGGAGACCACCUAAGAAGACCAGGGACUGUAGGCA